GCCCCUGCCCCAGGGUGCUGCUCGGGGUCCACGAUGGGAAGGGGAAGCGUCCGGCCACCACGCGCGCCUCGUCGGGGAGUUCUGCAAGGAGCUUGGCAGCUAGGGGAGGCUUCUGGGGAGAGACAGACAGCCGAGGGCGGGAAAUGUGCCUGGGUGGAGCGGCCCUGCCUGGGGACCUGGUCCCACAUGAAUUCCUCGGGGCAGUGCCACCGGGGGGACAAGGGGGAGCUUCUCAGCAGGGCUGGUGGGUCCCCAAAAGCAGCAGCAUCUGAAGGCACUUCCAAAACGCAGGGCUGAGACUGGCCCCGUGCAUAGCUGGGGCCAGGACCAAAUGGAAAUUUUAUUCCAACCUGAGUGACUCCGUGAUUUUCCUUACCUCCAGUCUCUUACUUUUGGCUUUUUUUU